rnacentral:rRNA from 1 species
AUUGAACGCUGGCGGCAGGCCUAACACAUGCAAGUCGAGCGCGAAAGGCUUUCGGGCUGAGUAGAGCGGCGGACGGGUGAGUAACGCGUAGGAAUCUACCUGGUAGUGGGGGACAACUUGGGGAAACUCAAGCUAAUACCGCAUACGCCCUAUGGGGGAAAGUGGGGGGACCUUCGGGCCUCACGCUAUCGGAUGAGCCUGCGUAGGAUUAGCUAGUUGGUAGGGUAAAGGCCUACCAAGGCGACGAUCCUUAACUGGUCUGAGAGGAUGAUCAGUCACACUGGAACUGAGACACGGUCCAGACUCCUACGGGUGGCAG